UACGGAAGGCAGCAGUGGGGAAUAUUGCACAAUGGGCGCAAGCCUGAUGCAGCCAUGCCGCGUGUAUGAAGAAGGCCUUCGGGUUGUAAAGUACUUUCAGUCGUGAGGAAGGUGUUAAGGUUAAUAACCUUAGCAAUUGACGUUAGCGACAGAAGAAGCACCGGCUAACUCCGUGCCAGCAGCCGCGGUAAUACGGAGGGUGCGAGCGUUAAUCGGAAUUACUGGGCGUAAAGGGCACGCAGGCGGUUAAUUAAGUUGGAUGUGAAAUCCCCGGGCUUAACCUGGGAAUGGCAUUCAAGACUGGUUAGCUAGAGUCUUGUAGAGGGGGUAGAAUUCCAUGUGUAGCGGUGAAAUGCGUAGAGAUGUGGAGGAAUACCGGUGGCGAAGGCGGCCCCUGGACAAAAGACUGACGCUCAUGUGCGAAAGCGUGGGGAGCAAACGAGGGAUUAGAUACC
rnacentral:rRNA from 1 species